rnacentral:rRNA from 1 species
UACGUAGGGUGCGAGCGUUGUCCGGAAUUAUUGGGCGUAAAGAGCUCGUAGGUGGUUUGUCGCGUUGUUCGUGAAAACUCACAGCUUAACUGUGGGCGUGCGGGCGAUACGGGCAGACUUGAGUACUGCAGGGGAGACUGGAAUUCCUGGUGUAGCGGUGAAAUGCGCAGAUAUCAGGAGGAACACCGGUGGCGAAGGCGGGUCUCUGGGCCAAAACUGACGCUGAGGAGCGAAAGCGUGGGGAGCGAACAGG